UGUAAAGUGACUUCAGCCCGAGAGACUGAAGAACAAGCCUUGAGCCCACUCAACCAUUCGUCAUCAGGGAUAUUCUCCACGUCCAAAUUCGAGACCGCUAGAGAUCAGGCGGAGGAACAUUCCACUGUGCGCACGGCCCGCGCUCUGCUUACCCGUUCGCCCCCCUAAAGGGACACCCGAGUUGCUUCCGCCCCUCGGCUCCCGUGAGAAGUGCUGCUGAGAACACGGGUGUGCCGACGCCUCUUCCAGACCUUGCUUUGCACUUAUUUGGGGGUUCCCGCUCAGCGUUGUGUCCUCAAGACCUGAGGCGCCCAAGGGUGCCGACGGGCCGGACACCUGCCGAGGCUGUUACUGCCAAGUUUCAGAACCACCUGUGAGAGCUCCUGCUCCCUCAGCGAAGGAGAAAGUAAGACAGUUGGAACUGACUUUCCCAAAGCCACGUAAAGAGUGGCAGAACCCAGACGCUGCCGCAAGUCUGUCCCACCCCGGGAGUGGGGGGCGGGGGGCCGCGGCUCGUGCACCCACCGCUGUUCCUUGCUAACUGAAACUUCGGGAGGACCCAUGACCGUGCAUGUGUCAAAGCCCAAAGGGUGCACGCCACAGAGGUGGCGUCCGAGGCUGCAGAUGUAAAGAGUGGCUCCAGACGUUGGUGGCCCCCAGCGUGGGCUGCAGGCGGGGCCACGGAGUCUGGCGGGGUUACCCUCACUGCUCCACGAGACACACACUCCCGCUCUAUAGGCUUUUUGUCCCCUAGACCCUCACUCUUAUUUCCCAGGGGAGGAACCAAAGCCCAGGGGGAGCGUCAGGCCCACGGAUGAGGCCCCUGUGACACCACGUCUCCCGUGAGACUUGCCCACCAGGCGCUGGGUCGGCCCGCGGGGAGACGCGCUCCGGGGCUUCCGUGGAAGGGAACAGACCCCGGCGUAAACAGCACCGCCCAGCCAGGUCCUCUCUUUCCCACCAAGAGGUGGAGGCCACGCCGUGUGGGAGGGGGGCGUGCACGCGGAAGGCCUCCUGGGUUUACUCUGGCUGCAGACCAGCGGGAAAGACGAUGCUCCCAGCACCUUGACCUUGCGGAGUUCCUGAGCUGCAGGAUGAGGCAGCGGGGGGUGAUCUGGUCUUGGCCCCAGGAGGCCGGCCCAGAGGUCAACAUCAAGGGGGAGCGCACAGACCCCGUGAACCCGGCGAGGAAGGGCUGGCCCCCAGCUUUCAUCUGCAGCCACUCUUGUCAUUGUUACCACGGGUCGGAGCCCGUCCGUCCAGGGACCACCGUGACUCCCCGAGUCCCGGAAUUCUUUUGUUUGGUACCUGAACAAAUAAACUACAUUUCUUUGGAA